GACGAACGCUGGCGGCGUGCUUAACACAUGCAAGUCGAACGAUGAUCAGGAGCUUGCUCCUGUGAUUAGUGGCGAACGGGUGAGUAACACGUGAGUAACCUGCCCCUGACUCUGGGAUAAGCGUUGGAAACGACGUCUAAUACUGGAUAUGAUCACUGGCCGCAUGGUCUGGUGGUGGAAAGAUUUUUUGGUUGGGGAUGGACUCGCGGCCUAUCAGCUUGUUGGUGAGGUAAUGGCUCACCAAGGCGACGACGGGUAGCCGGCCUGAGAGGGUGACCGGCCACACUGGGACUGAGACACGGCCCAGACUCCUACGGGAGGCAGCAGUGGGGAAUAUUGCACAAUGGGCGAAAGCCUGAUGCAGCAACGCCGCGUGAGGGAUGACGGCCUUCGGGUUGUAAACCUCUUUUAGUAGGGAAGAAGCGAAAGUGACGGUACCUGCAGAAAAAGCACCGGCUAACUACGUGCCAGCAGCCGCGGUAAUACGUAGGGUGCAAGCGUUGUCCGGAAUUAUUGGGCGUAAAGAGCUCGUAGGCGGUUUGUCGCGUCUGCUGUGAAAUCCCGAGGCUCAACCUCGGGCUUGCAGUGGGUACGGGCAGACUAGAGUGCGGUAGGGGGAGAUUGGAAUUCCUGGUGUAGCGGUGGAAUGCGCAGAUAUCACGAGGAACACCGAUGGCGAAAGCAGAUCUCUGGGCCGUAACUGACGCUGAGGAGCGAAAGCGUGGGGAGCGAACAGGAUUAGAUACCCUGGUAGUCCACGCCGUAAACGUUGGGCGCUAGAUGUAGGGACCUUUCCACGGUUUCUGUGUCGUAGCUAACGCAUUAAGCGCCCCGCCUGGGGAGUACGGCCGCAAGGCUAAAACUCAAAGGAAUUGACGGGGGCCCGCACAAGCGGCGGAGCAUGCGGAUUAAUUCGAUGCAACGCGAAGAACCUUACCAAGGCUUGACAUACACCGGAAACGGCCAGAGAUGGUCGCCCCCUUGUGGUCGGUGUACAGGUGGUGCAUGGUUGUCGUCAGCUCGUGUCGUGAGAUGUUGGGUUAAGUCCCGCAACGAGCGCAACCCUCGUUCUAUGUUGCCAGCGCGUUAUGGCGGGGACUCAUAGGAGACUGCCGGGGUCAACUAGGAGGAAGGUGGGGAUGACGUCAAAUCAUCAUGCCCCUUAUGUCUUGGGCUUCACGCAUGCUACAAUGGCCGGUACAAAGGGCUGCGAUACCGUAAGGUGGAGCGAAUCCCAAAAAGCCGGUCUCAGUUCGGAUUGAGGUCUGCAACUCGACCUCAUGAAGUCGGAGUCGCUAGUAAUCGCAGAUCAGCAACGCUGCGGUGAAUACGUUCCCGGGCCUUGUACACACCGCCCGUCAAGUCAUGAAAGUCGGUAACACCCGAAGCCGGUGGCCUAACCCUUGUGGAAGGAGCCGUCGAAGGUGGGAUCGGUGAUUAGGACU
rnacentral:rRNA from 1 species